rnacentral:tRNA from 1 species
GGUUGUGGCUCAGUGGUAGAAUGUGAGCCUAGCAUGCAUGAGGCACUGGGUUUGAUCCUCAGCACCA